GCAGAGUCAGCAUGUAAGCCAAAGAAGUUAAUACACCUGCACAACGUUGACACAACACUAAGUUUUAAUAUCUCUUCAUACUCUCAGCAUGGUGAGAGAAAAUGGGAAUUGCUGAAAUGGUGUAGCCAUAAAGAAGAGCAGGAGUAGGCAUAGGAGUUUUAAAGGUCUUCACAUAUCCCUAUAACUCUAUGUCCAAAUGCAAUAGCAUGACAGCUGGAAGCAGUCACAUUCAUAUCCUGAAAAUAUCAGCUAAGGAGUUUUCCAAGUGUAAGUCAGGUGCUUGGCUAUCACUUUCUGAGCUACAACGAAGGAAUGACACCUGUGUUUUC
rnacentral:lncRNA from 1 species